GACGAACGCUGGCGGCGCGCCUAACACAUGCAAGUCGAACGAGCGAGAGAGAGCUUGCUUUCUCGAGCGAGUGGCGAACGGGUGAGUAACGCGUGAGGAACCUGCCUCAAAGAGGGGGACAACAGUUGGAAACGACUGCUAAUACCGCAUAAGCCCACGGUGCCGCAUGGCACAGAGGGAAAAGGAGCAAUCCGCUUUGAGAUGGCCUCGCGUCCGAUUAGCUAGUUGGUGAGGUAACGGCCCACCAAGGCGACGAUCGGUAGCCGGACUGAGAGGUUGAACGGCCACAUUGGGACUGAGACACGGCCCAGACUCCUACGGGAGGCAGCAGUGGGGAAUAUUGCACAAUGGGGGAAACCCUGAUGUAGCGACGCCGCGUGGAGGAAGAAGGUCUUCGGAUUGUAAACUCCUGUUGUUGGGGAAGAUAAUGACGGUACCCAACAAGGAAGUGACGGCUAACUACGUGCCAGCAGCCGCGGUAAAGUCAC
rnacentral:rRNA from 1 species